rfam:Capsicum annuum cultivar Zunla-1 chromosome 4, whole genome shotgun sequence
UAAUGAUGACGAGGAAAAUUUCUGAGCAUACCCUUAAAUCUCUCCCAAGCUUGGUAGAGAUUCUCUCCUUUUUUUCUAAAACUCAAGAUCUCACUCCUCAAAUG